rnacentral:rRNA from 1 species
AAUGAACGCUGGCGGCAUGCCUUACACAUGCAAGUCGAACGGUAACAGGUCUUCGGAUGCUGACGAGUGGCGAACGGGUGAGUAAUACAACGGAACGUGCCCGAUCGUGGGGGAUAACGAGGCGAAAGCUUUGCUAAUACCGCAUACGAUCUACGGAUGAAAGCGGGGGAUCUUCGGACCUCGCGCGGACGGAGCGGCCGAUGGCAGAUUAGGUAGUUGGUGGGAUAAAAGCUUACCAAGCCGACGAUCUGUAGCUGGUCUGAGAGGAUGAUCAGCCACACUGGAACUGAGACACGGCCCAGACUCCUACGGGAGGCAGCAGUGGGGAAUUUUGGACAAUGGGCGAAAGCCUGAUCCAGCCAUGCCGCGUGCAGGAUGAAGGCCUUCGGGUUGUAAACUGCUUUUGUACGGAACGAAAAGCCUCUUUCUAAUAAAGAGGGGUCAUGACGGUACCGUAAGAAUAAGCACCGGCUAACUACGUG